AAUCAACGCUGGCGGCGUGCCUAACACAUGCAAGUCGAACGCGAAAGUCCCGCAAGGGACAAGUAGAGUGGCAAACGGGUGAGUAACGCGUGGGCGACCUACCUUCGAGUGGGGGAUAACCUUCCGAAAGGAGGGCUAAUACCGCAUGACAUCCCGUGUUUGGAUACACGGAUAUCAAAGUCGGGGAUCGCAAGACCUGACGCUUGAAGAGGGGCCCGCGUCCGAUUAGCUAGUUGGUGAGGUAACGGCUCACCAAGGCUCCGAUCGGUAUCCGGCCUGAGAGGGCGGACGGACACACUGGGACUGAGACACGGCCCAGACUCCUACGGGUGGCUG
rnacentral:rRNA from 1 species